rnacentral:lncRNA from 1 species
GUAGCUUUUACGACUACAUUAUUUAUAAAUGGUCAAAAUCACUAUAUACACAACAAUUUUCUCAUAUUUUACUUUACUCUCAUCAAAAACAUUAAUUUAGCUCUUCUAGUAUAAUUAAUCUCCUUAAGAACUAAGCAAAUAAUGUGUGUGAGAGAGAGUCCGGCUACUAUAUUCUUAUGAGUAUAUGUUCCUUUAUAGUUAUAAAUUUUCGGCCGUUAAAUUUAUUGUUUUGAUCAUUUUCAUCUGUUAAAUCAUACUACCUCUUUGAUCAUUUCCAUCUUAAUCGGAGAUCACUAUCAUCCUAGCUAACUGCAUAUCUUUUCACCAAACGACUAAAAAUUUAUGAGUAUAAAAAGGUCUAUACUCAAUUUACAGAGUCAAAACAUGCAAGCUCUUUCAUUACAAACACUUUUCAAAUUUAGGUAAAAAUCUUACAUAUUUUAAUUCUAUCAAAAGUCAACAUUUUACAUACAUUAAUU